rnacentral:rRNA from 1 species
UAUUGCACAAUGGGGGAAACCCUGAUGCAGCGACGCCGCGUGAGCGAUGAAGGCUUUCGAGUCGUAAAGCUCUGUCCUAUGGGAAGAUAAUGACGGUACCAUAGAAGAAAGCGCCGGCUACUUACGUGCCAGCAGCCGCGGUAAUACGUAAGGGGCGAGCGUUGUCCGGAAUUAUUGGGCGUAAAGAGUGCGUAGGCGGCAAAUUAAGUCAGAUGUGAAAACUAAGGGCUCAACCCAUAGAUUGCAUCUGAAACUGAUAUGCUUGAGUCAAGGAGAGGAAAGUGGAAUUCCUAGUGUAGCGGUGGAAUGCGUAGAUAUUAGGAGGAAUACCGGUGGCGAAGGCGACUUUCUGGACUUGAACUGACGCUGAGGCACGAAAGCGUGGGGAGCAAACAGG